GUCCAUGCCGUAAACGUUGGGCACUAGGUGUGGGGGACAUUCCACGUUUUCCGCGCCGUAGCUAACGCAUUAAGUGCCCCGCCUGGGGGAGUACGGCCGCAAGGCUAAAACUCAAAGGAAUUGACGGGGGCCCGCACAAGCGGCGGAGCAUGCGGAUUAAUUCGAUGCAACGCGAAGAACCUUACCAAGGCUUGACAUGGGCCGGACCGGGCUGUAAACAGUCCUUCCCCUUUGGGGCCGGUUCACAGGUGGUGCAUGGUUGUCGU
rnacentral:rRNA from 1 species